rnacentral:lncRNA from 1 species
AAAUCGACAAGACAAUACGGUCUGAAUCCUGUCCAGAUAUCUAUAUAAGCGGGGAUGAUACUAUCAUAAGCUAAAGGAAGGAGUGUUAACACAUAUUACACGUGGAUAUUUAUUGUUUUCGCCAUAAUAAGGUAGAUGAUGAUGACGUCAGUUAUGCUUGUUAUUAUUCUUGUUGCUCUUGCCACGGCAUCGCCAUCACCAUCACAAGAUGAUCAUGGGUCCAGUUGUCAUGCACCGGUACAUAGCUUUGGAGAUGAGUGCUAUUCUAGUACGAAAGUACAACGAGCUCCAGGGGAAACGCUAAAGUACCAUAUAACUGCGGCUGCAAGCGUCGAGAUAUGCUGCAAAGUGGAAACAUGCUUGACAUCAUCUUGCACAAUGAAGGAUAUUGGUUGUGGACAUCAUUCACUGGAGUCCGAAUCUCUUCCAUGGGAAGGCGAACACACACUUGAUACACCAAAAGUGGAAUGUAAAACAACUGGUGUUCAUGCUGUCUAUUACAGUUUUACGACAUCUCAUUAAAUUGUAAAAUACUUAUCUACAGAGACAUGUUAUAAAAUGUUACCUAAAAUACGAAAAAAUUAUAUUUAGACAUUUUAGAAAUUAGAUAACGUGGGAGAAGAUAUCUCUUUUUAUGGUCAUAUGUAUAUAGGAUGUAAUUAAUUUUGGAAAAUGAACUUCAAAAUGAACACAAAAAGCACAUCCUCUGUGUUAAGAGUCAGCAGAUUUGAUGUCAUCAUAAAGAUUUAAGAAAGAAAUUUUUAGAAAAAAGAUAGGCCAAGGAAAUUUGGGAAAUAGACAUUACUAAAGACGCAUUUUAUCUCACAAGACAGCAAUUUUCAAUCUUUUCAAUUAAAUUAUUCAGUCCUCUUUGUGUAAAUUGAAAGUUCACAUUUGUGGUGUAUAAAUAUCAAUAGAUAAUGAUAAAACGGACUUCAUAUAGUUCAGCACAUUAGGUUUAAUUAUAUCUGUAGAAUUCGAUUGAACCCCAAUUCAUCUUGAUAAACUGUAAAAAGAAUAUUAGACAUUAAAAAUUGGACAGCGUAGUUGAGAUUUUUUUUCAGGACUUUGUUUAAAAAAGUGUAUCCAAAUAUUAUAACUGAGUAUACCAUAUUUUUGAUGACAUUUCCGCAUAUAUAAAAUUUCUAAUUCUGCAAAUUUUAAUAAAUUGUCUUUACUGUUGUAGAUUUACCUAUCUUUAUAAUUAAGUCAGAUAAAUUGGAUAUGUUCAUGUACCUAAUUUUAAGAUAUUUUGAUUAAAAAGAACCACAAACUAGA